rnacentral:sRNA from 1 species
AUUAAAACUGAUACCUCAGUCCGUUUUAGUGCACAGAUUACUACUAACUAAAGUCCCUUUCAAAGUAGGGGCAAGGCCUGCCCUGUAGAGGCAACGGAAAAGAGAACCCGUAAAGACCCAGGUCACAGGCCACUGUGGCGGAGGGCAGACCCAGAGGCAUGGUGACCAGUGCGGGAGAGGGCAGGCCAGCUUCAGGGUGCAGACCCCGCAGAAGCCCAGCUUCACUGGCUACAGGGUUGUUGCAGGGGGGAUGGGUAGAGCAGCCCUGCCUCUUGCCCCUUCCCUGCGUGUGCUCCGAGCCUACCUGGGAGAGGAGAGUGAGGAUCAGCCAGAAAGCACCCUUUCUCCCUCUGUUCCUCCCAGGCCCAGCAUCUCAGGAGGGCCUGAGAGUCUGGGUAUGAGGAGCUGCGGGCACUGGAGGGGUAGGCCCAGCUCAGCCCACACCCUCUGGCUUUGUCUCUCCUGCCAGCCCUGUCCCCCGGAUCAAGUGGCGCAAAGUGGACGGCUCCCUGUCCCCGCAGUGGACCACAGCUGAGCCCACUCUGCAGAUCCCCAGCGUCAGCUUUGAGGAUGAGGGCACCUACGAGUGUGAGGCGGAGAACUCCAAGGGCCGAGACACCGUGCAGGGCCGCAUCAUCGUGCAGGCUCAGCCUGAGUGGCUAAAAGUGAUCUCGGACACAGAGGCUGACAUUGGCUCCAACCUGCGUUGGGGCUGUGCAGCCGCCGGCAAGCCCCGGCCUACAGUGCGCUGGCUGCGGAACGGGGAGCCUCUGGCCUCCCAGAACCGGGUGGAGGUGUUGGCCGGGGACCUGCGGUUCUCCAAGCUGAGCCUGGAGGACUCGGGCAUGUACCAGUGUGUGGCAGAGAAUAAGCAUGGUACCAUCUACGCCAGCGCCGAGCUAGCCGUGCAAGCACUCGCCCCUGACUUCAGGCUGAAUCCCGUGAGGCGUCUGAUCCCCGCGGCCCGCGGGGGAGAGAUCGUUAUCCCCUGCCAGCCCCGGGCAGCUCCAAAGGCCGUGGUGCUCUGGAGCAAAGGCACGGAGAUUUUGGUCAACAGCAGCAGAGUGACUGUAACUCCAGAU